rnacentral:rRNA from 1 species
UGGGGAAUAUUGCACAAUGGGCGCAAGCCUGAUGCAGCGACGCCGCGUGAGGGAUGACGGCCUUCGGGUUGUAAACCUCUUUCAGCAGGGAAGAAGCGCAAGUGACGGUACCUGCAGAAGAAGCGCCGGCUAACUACGUGCCAGCAGCCGCGGUAAUACGUAGGGCGCAAGCGUUGUCCGGAAUUAUUGGGCGUAAAGCGCACGUAGGCGGACUCUUAAGUCGGUGGUGAAAUCCUGGAGCUCAACUCCGGAACUGCCUUCGAUACUGGGAGUCUUGAGUUCGGGAGAGGUGAGUGGAACUGCGAGUGUAGAGGUGAAAUUCGUAGAGAUUCGCAAGAACACCAGUGGCGAAGGCGGUUCACUGGCCCGAUACUGACGCUGAGGUGCGAAAGCGUGGGGAGCAAACA